rnacentral:piRNA from 1 species
UGACGAACCAGGUGGGAGUUACUGCUAA